rnacentral:rRNA from 1 species
GAUGAACGCUGACAGAAUGCUUAACACAUGCAAGUCAAACUGUGGCGGACGGGUGAGUAACGCGUAAAGAACUUGCCUCACGGAUGGGGACAACCUUUGGAAACGAUUGCUAAAACCUGAUAGUGUGAGAGAGCUUUGCGUCCCAUUAGCUAGUUGGCGAGGUAACGGCUCACCAAGGCGAGGAUGGGUAGCCGGCCUGGGAGGGUGAUCGGCCACAAGGGGACAGAGACACGGCGCUGGCUGCAGCGGGAGGCAUGAGUGAGGGAUAUAGAGCAAUGUACCAAAGUCUGAUCCAGGAAUUCAGUGUGCACGGUGAAGUUUUCGGAAUGUAAAGUGCUUUCAGUUGGAAAGCGGUACCAACAGAAGAAGUGCCGGCUAACUACGUGCCAGCAGCCGCGGUAAUAC